GCAUAUCAAUAAGCGGAGGAAAAGAAACCAACAGGGAUUGCCCCAGUAACGGCGAGUGAAGCGGCAACAGCUCAAAUUUGAAAUCUGGCCCCUAGGGUCCGAGUUGUAAUUUGUAGAGGAUGCUUUUGGUGAGGUGCCGCCCGAGUUCCCUGGAACGGGACGCCGCAGAGGGUGAGAGCCCCGUCUGGCUGGCCACCGAGCCUCUGUAAAGCUCCUUCGACGAGUCGAGUAGUUUGGGAAUGCUGCUCAAAAUGGGAGGUAUAUGUCUUCUAAAGCUAAAUAUUGGCCAGAGACCGAUAGCGCACAAGUAGAGUGAUCGAAAGAUGAAAAGCACCUUGAAAAGAGGGUUAAACAGUACGUGAAAUUGUUGAAAGGGAAGCGCUUGUGACCAGACUUGGGCGCGGCGGAUCAUCCGGGGUUCUCCCCGGUGCACUUCGCCGCGUUCAGGCCAGCAUCAGUUCGGCGCGGGGGAAAAAGGCUUCGGGAACGUGGCUCCUCCGGGAGUGUUAUAGCCCGUUGCAUAAUACCCUGCGCUGGACUGAGGACCGCGCAUCUGCAAGGAUGCUGGCGUAAUGGUCACCAGCGACCCGUCU
rnacentral:rRNA from 1 species